rnacentral:rRNA from 1 species
AUACCGGAUAAGCCACAUAUGCUGGAAUGCUUUGUGGCUCAAAGCUCCGGCGUCCAAGGAUGGGUCUGCGGCCUAUCAGGGUAGUAGUGGGUGUAAUGUACCUACUAGCCUACGACGGGUACGGGUUGUGAGAGCAAGAGCCCGGAGAUGGAUUCUGAGACACGAAUCCAGGCCCUACGGGGUGCAGCAGGCGCGAAAACUUUACAAUGCGGGAAACCGCGAUAAGGGAAUCUCGAGUGCCAGCAUAUAAUGUUGGCUGUCCAGAUGCCUAAAAAGCAUUUGUUAGCAAGGGCCGGGCAAGACCGGUGCCAGCCGCCGCGGUAACACCGGCGGCCCGAGUGGUAACCGUUAUUAUUGGGUCUAAAGGGUCUGUAGCCGGCCGAAUAAGUCUCUUGGGAAAUCUGGCAGCUUAACUGUCAGGCAGUCAGGGGAUACUGUUCGGCUUGGGACCGGGAGAGGUGAGAGGUACUUCGGGGGUAGGGGUGAAAUCUUGUGAUCCUCGAGGGACCACCAGUGGCGAAGGCGUCUCACCAGAACGGGUCCGACGGUAAGGGACGAAAGCUAGGGGCACGAACCGGAUUAGAUACCCGGGUAGUCCUAGCCGUAAACGAUGCUUGC